rnacentral:lncRNA from 12 species
AUACGAUUCCUUUUCCCAGCACCAAUAUACUUCUUUCUAUCACAGCUUCCGUUUAAAAGCAUUCAAGGAGUUUCUGAAGCCUACAGCUUGUGAAGAAGAGUGCCUCAUCUGCUGGAAGAACACACUUUACAUAAAAGAGGAUGAGAUUUGGAGAAUGAGAACAUUACUGGAGCCUGACGUGGGGGAAACCAACAAGCCAGGAAGGACGAAAUCAGUUGAGGGUAAGGAACGAAUGCAGAUACUUCACAUCCUCCCAGAAUCAAAGGUAAUGGGCCUCAGGGGAGAAGGAUUUCUGAAAUAGAAUCGCAGAGAAACUGUCUCAGUGUCAGGCUUAGGGAACCGCUUGGUCUACCUGGGGAGCUCUGGAACGAAUUACAGCUUAGGACCUUCACAGAUUCAGGACAUUUAUUAUCACCAGCCUUGUACCAAUUGUCACUCUUGGUACAAUCAGAAUGUGAUCUGACAGUUCUAGAGCAUAAGAAAGCCAUGAAAAUCUGUUGACUCAAUUCCUCCCACAUCUGUUCUGAAUGAUGAGAGUGGAAAGUAGAAAAAGAGAAUUGGAUUGAUGAUCCAUCAACAUGCUGUCCUGUUGAAGGGAUUAGUAGUAGUACCAUAAAGGAGGUAAGUUCGUUUCCUUGGGUAUCUGAAAGGAAAUAAAACUGCCGAUAUUGAAGACA